GAUGAAGAACGUAGCGAAAUGCGAUAAGUAAUGUGAAUUGCAGAAUUCAGUGAAUCAUCGAAUCUUUGAACGCACAUUGCGCCCGCCAGUAUUCUGGCGGGCAUGCCUGUUCGAGCAUCAUUUCAACCCUCAAGCCCCAGCGGCCUGGUGUUGGGGACCGGCGACCUCGCCCGAGCCCGCCCUCCGGGGCGCGUGCCCGGUGCGUCCGCCGCCCCCGAAAUGAAUUGGCGGCCUCGUCGCGGCCUCCUCUGCGUAGUAGCACAACCUCGCAAGCGGGAGCGCGACGCGGCCACUGCCGUAAAACGCCCAACUUUUUUAGAGUUGACCUCGGAUCAGGUAGGAAUACCCGCUGAACUUAAGCAUAUCAAUAAGCGGAGGA
rnacentral:misc_RNA from 1 species